GGUAGCGGGGAGGGAAUUUGUUGUCAAAUCAUAAAGUCUCUGACUCUAUACUUUAAGUACCAGUAAUGAUUUACAUGUAAAGAAAAUGGAAUAUUACGAUAUAGUCAACUACACGGGCCUCUGUUAUUUGCAGACUUUUAGUCAUAGACAUGUUAGUGACCAAGACUUGUGACUCAGAAAAUGAAACGAGAUGAGGAGUAUGAACCCAGCUUUAGAAUAACACUAAGACCAAGUACUAUAGAAUUUAACAGGGCAACAAAUUUUGAUCAUCUUUCUGAUGUAGGUGAUAGUGAUGAAGAUGAGUUCAUGGAUGAUGAGACGAAUCUGGACCCUGGCCUUAUCAGAAAAGCAAAUCAGAAUUACAAAAACCUUACGUCGGACCAGCCUUUCUUGGUGUACCAGCAAUGUCUUAUGCAACUGGUAUCUCUUAUCAGAAUGAAAAGCAUUGGCUUGGGCAAAGGACAUAAUUAACCAUUUCUGGUACACUGCAAGCAUCAGCGAUAUAUAUGAGGAUUUUGUUUAAUUUUGAGAAGCUAUAUCUUCAAAGAAAAAAAAAAUAGAUUUGCGAUGAAAUUUUAUAUCUUAACUCCUUUUAAUUGCCUAAAGAGGGCUUAUUGAUGAUAAGGUCAAAAGGUCAAAGAACAAGUUCAGAAAUUAUAUGUAUUACAUACAAAGUUGAAGUUCUGUGUAACGUUCUGCAAUGAAUUUCAAUAAUUUAAAAAAAACAAACAUAUUAAAACUAAACUUUACAGGCCAAAAGCUGAAAAGUCAGGACUGAUUUUUAAUAUAAAUUCUCCAUUUGCAAUUUUUUUUAGUUUUUCCACCCUCUUUCUUUUUUUUCUCUCGGUGAAGGACACCAGAUCUCUGAUUUAGCUUAUUAAUUGUUUUAAAGUGUCUUAUCUUGAUCAAGUUUUAUUAAUGACAGGGAGUGAUUUAAUUUAAGGUCAGACGAGACGUUCCUCAAUAUCUGUUUUGUAUAUCUUCGUAAUGUAUGAAAAAUAUUCAAAUUUUUAAUAUCAUUCUGAAUUCUAAACCAGUUUCUAAACGUUUUUAAAGAAUCCAACCACUUAAACAUUUGAAAAUGGAAAAUUACUUUUCUUCCCGAAAGGAUUAUAUAAGGAAAACUAUCCCUGGUAUCUUGCAGAAAUGCCUGGUAAGGUACCUUAAAUUUGUGUGAGUAAACAUGUUUAAGUAACAAUACUUCAAUGACAAAAUCUUUGAAAAAAUUAUCUAUUAUUAAGGAACGUCUCGUCUGUCCUUAAGGGAGUUUGGUUUGGAAUUCUCCACCAUGUUUGAGAUGAAUACCAUUGGAUCCUUCCAUCCAGUGAAAAUGCUUCAAAUUGCUGCAACCAUUGUCCACUGACAGAAGAGAGGACCAAGGGAUGGCUCAAGAAAGGCUCGCCAGCUCACGAGGCAUUGAGAUAUGUUGUCAUGGACAAACAGAGAUUGAAUCAAGUUCACUACUAUUUGAAUUGCAGGUAUCAAAGAUCUUUCAACAAGAAGAGCGGCAUAUGGUCUGUUCAUGAGGUUAAAAUGGAAAAGUUAUUUCCAUACAUUCCAGCCUCGGUAGACAAAAUUGAAGAGAGCAGAUUGAAUGAUGAUGAGGGGAUGACAGGGAAUGUCGAUUUGGACCCAGAGGACCCUAGGAGAAUUUCUAGAAUUCUGGUUUCUAUUCCACCACCUCCAACUCAACAACUUGUUCUAGAGAGAAAAUCAAGAUUUCAAGACCAAGACAAAACUUUGGAUUAUAUAUGGGAUAAUUAACUUCUUUUUCUAAAUUUGACAUUGCGUCCGAAUAAAUUUUCCACAACUUUGUAGCUUUAGUGGGCUAGUUCAUAUAGUAUACGUUUUCCGGAUCAGAUGUUGCUUGUCAACUGUCUGUCUGUUAAGUUGACAUGUCACUCAUCUGAAUUACAAUACAGAAUAUAUUGUUUAUAACUUAACCUUUUUACUCACAAUAUUUGGGUCAGGGCAACCAUUUUUUAACAAAGAUUCACUGGAUGUGUCAUUUUUCUUGAACCAAAAGCUUUUUGGGCAAUCUCAGGUUGCAUUUAAAAAAUUUAAACGGAUACUCUUAAAAAUGUGGAGUUUUAUGAACUUGCUCACAGUACCUCUCUUUUUUAUGCACCCAGAUCGAUCCGGGGGAUAUAUUGUUUUUGUCCUGUCUGUCUGUUUGUCUGCAAACUUUAACCUUUGCCUUAACUUUUGAACCAUGAUUGACAAAGACUUAAUAUUUAGUAUGUAUAUUCCGCUUAUUAAGCUCUAUCAAAUGACACCAAGGUCAAUGACCUUGACUGUGACUUAUAAUAUGCUUAAAAUAGCUUUUUCAUACCUUCGCCAUAUUAACUUUUAAACCAUUGAAGAUAGAGACUUCAUAUUUGAUAUGCACACUCCACUAAUUAAGCUUUUUUAAAUGACUUCAAGGUCCAUGACUGUGACCUUGACCUGUAUGCUAAAAAUAGCUUUUUCGUACCUUCGCCAUAACUUUGAAAGCAUGGGAAAUA